GAUGAACGCUGGCGGCGCGCCUAACACAUGCAAGUCGAACGGCACCCCUCCUCGGAGGGAAGCGAGUGGCGAACGGCUGAGUAACACGUGGAGAACCUGCCCCCUCCCCCGGGAUAGCCGCCCGAAAGGACGGGUAAUACCGGAUACCCCGGGGUGCCGCAUGGCACCCCGGCUAAAGCCCCGACGGGAGGGGAUGGCUCCGCGGCCCAUCAGGUAGACGGCGGGGUGACGGCCCACCGUGCCGACAACGGGUAGCCGGGUUGAGAGACCGACCGGCCAGAUUGGGACUGAGACACGGCCCAGACUCCUACGGGAGGCAGCAGUGGGGAAUCUUGCGCAAUGGGGGGAACCCUGACGCAGCGACGCCGCGUGCGGGACGGAGGCCUUCGGGUCGUAAACCGCUUUCAGCAGGGAAGAGUCAAGACUGUACCUGCAGAAGAAGCCCCGGCUAACUACGUGC
rnacentral:rRNA from 1 species